rnacentral:lncRNA from 1 species
AAAAAGCGAGCUGAAAAGGCACAUGAAGACCAUCUACACAAAAAAACCUCUCUCUCUCUCUCAGCGAAAAAAAAGGAAUUGAAAUAAGAAUAAGAUAAUUAAGAGAGGUACAUAGAGUGACGCUCCCACAGAUAUACACCUCACUUCUCUCACAAUCUCGCUCGAAAAAAAGAAAACGUGACAAAAAAAAGAACACGUGACAAAAAAAAGAAAAGAAGAAAAUUUCUUCUUCAUCAAACUGUUCAUC